AAUACAUUGAGACUCCCCAUUUUGAUAGAGCUGUUUCAGAUGUGUCAAGAGAAUUUCAAAGAGAAGAGAAUUUCGCCUCUCCUAUAAACCAGUGGUCGGCACGAGAGGAAUUGUGACUGUAUAGGUUAACACCAUAAAUAUAAUACACUAGCAGACCCGGCCACCCGUUUUUGUGGCUAAUAUGUAUAUUAAAUUAAGUUGGUCCAAUCUUGGCUUCGGCGACGAUAUUGAUUACUCGAGGUUGAUUUAUGUUACGCAGCAUGAUAACAACUCACACUACUUUUAAUUGCAAAGUGAGUGGUGAUAGUACAGGCAAUUUUAAAUAGUUUGGGAUAAUUGACUACGUAAUCCUGGUUUGUAGCUGUGUCAACUCUCUUGGACCGAAAUUCUAAAUUGUCGCAUUAAGGUCAUCGAUAUCUUUUUUUUACCACCAAUAUAGGUCUUUCAAUCAGUCAUUUAUGGUUAUCAUAUUGAGGUUUCAUGUCAGGAAAACUUCUCUUUCGAGUCAAUGAAAUGACAGAAAUCUGUUGGAAAUGCUAUUAAUCCAUCGAGGUGUCAACUGCCAACUGCUUCUACAAUCGCAAUUUGAUGUUCUUGCAAAAACACUCAUAUGUUAGUUGUUAAUUGGCGAUUCUUUAUGUGUCGCCACAAAUUAAAUGAUUUUAGGCAUACGAUUAGCCCGUCAGUAACAGUUGAUCCAGGAAUAAUUGGAAGAGUCUGGCGUAAAUCACCUGCUAACUGAAUCCUGGCUCCACUAAAAACGUUCAUCGACAAUCAAGAUCUUUUAAAGUCCUGCGCAGUACCUCCAGCGACUUCUUGAAUAUUUGGAAAAUCUUCGUUAAAGCGAUUUUGCCGACUGGUUUUUCGUUCAUUUGCAAUUUAGGAGUAAUUUCAAGGUCGAAUGUGCCGUUUGUUUGCCUACUAACAGGUGCCAAGAUGCCCCUAUUC